rnacentral:misc_RNA from 1 species
CGCCGCGCUCCGCGACGGGCUCGACCGCGCCGCGCCGCGCAAUGUCGGCGGCAAGGCGGACAAUCCCGUCAGCCAGAUUCUCCAGAACGCCGACAUCAACUGGACAGUGACGCGCGCCGCAAGUGGCGUGCAGAACGCGCUGUCGCUGUCGACACCGCUCGACGGCAAGCUGACCGUGCUUGGCUCGCUGUCGGCGGCAAGCGGCACAGCG